rnacentral:rRNA from 1 species
GACGAACGCUGGCGGCGUGCUUAGCACAUGCAAGUCGAACGGAAAGGCCCUGCUUUUGUGGGGUGCUCGAGUGGCGAACGGGUGAGUAACACGUGAGUAACCUGCCCUUGACUUUGGGAUAACUUCAGGAAACUGGGGCUAAUACCGGAUAGGAGCUCCUGCUGCAUGGUGGGGGUUGGAAAGUUUCGGCGGUUGGGGAUGGACUCGCGGCUUAUCAGCUUGUUGGUGGGGUAGUGGCUUACCAAGGCUUUGACGGGUAGCCGGCCUGAGAGGGGGACCGGCCACAUUGGGACUGAGAUACGGCCCAGACUCCUACGGGAGGCAGCAGUGGGGAAUAUUGCACAAUGGGCGGAAGCCUGAUGCAGCAACGCCGCGUGCGGGAUGACGGCCUUCGGGUUGUAAACCGCCUUCGCCUGUGACGAAGCGUGAGUGACGGUAAUGGGUAAAGAAGCACCGGCUAACUACGUG